UACGUAGGGUCCGAGCGUUGUCCGGAAUUAUUGGGCGUAAAGAGCUCGUAGGCGGUUUGUUGCGUCGGCUGUGAAAUCCCGAGGCUCAACCUCGGGUCUGCAGUCGAUACGAGCAAACUAGAGUGUUGCAGGGGAGACUGGAAUUCCUGGUGUAGCGGUGAAAUGCGCAGAUAUCAGGAGGAACACCGGUGGCGAAGGCGGGUCUCUGGGCAACAACUGACGCUGAGGAGCGAAAGCGUGGGGAGCGAACAGG
rnacentral:rRNA from 1 species